rnacentral:rRNA from 1 species
GGGAUCCGAUUUUAGCAUGGAAUAAUAAAAUAGGACUUUGGUUCUAUUUUGUUGGUUUCUAGGACCGAAGUAAUGAUUAAUAGGGAUAGUUGGGGGCAUUAGUAUUUAAUUGUCAGAGGUGAAAUUCUUGGAUUUAUUAAAGACUAACUUCUGCGAAAGCAUUUGCCAAGGAUGUUUUCAUUAAUCAAGAACGAAAGUUAGGGGAUCGAAGACGAUCAGAUACCGUCGUAGUCUUAACCAUAAACUAUGCCGUCUAGGGAUCAGACAAGGAUAUUUUGACUUGUUUGGCACCUUAUGAGAAAUCAAAGUUUUUGGGUUCCGGGGGGAGUAUGGUCGCAAGGCUGAAACUUAAAGGAAUUGACGGAAGGGCACCACCAGGAGUGGAGCCUCCGCCUUAAUUUGACUCCACGCGGGGAAACUCUCCAGGUCCAGAAAUCUAGA